GACGAACGCUGGCGGCGUGCUUAACACAUGCAAGUCGAACGGAAAGGCCCUGCUUUUGUGGGGUGCUCGAGUGGCGAACGGGUGAGUAACACGUGAGUAACCUGCCCUUGACUUUGGGAUAACUUCAGGAAACUGGGGCUAAUACCGGAUAGGAGCUCCUGCUGCAUGGUGGGGGUUGGAAAGUUUCGGCGGUUGGGGAUGGACUCGCGGCUUAUCAGCUUGUUGGUGGGGUAGUGGCUUACCAAGGCUUUGACGGGUAGCCGGCCUGAGAGGGUGACCGGCCACAUUGGGACUGAGAUACGGCCCAGACUCCUACGGGAGGCAGCAGUGGGGAAUGUUGCACAAUGGGCGGAAGCCUGAUGCAGCAACGCCGCGUGCGGGACGACGGCCUUCGGGUUGUAAACCGCUUUCGCCUGUGACGAAGCGUGAGUGACGGUAAUGGGUAAAGAAGCACCGGCUAACUACGUG
rnacentral:rRNA from 1 species